UACGUAGGGUGCAAGCGUUGUCCGGAAUUAUUGGGCGUAAAGAGCUCGUAGGCGGUUUGUCGCGUCGGCUGUGAAAAACCUGGGGCUCAACCCCGGGCCUGCAGCCGAUACGGGCAAACUAGAAUUCGGUAGGGGAGACUGGAAUUCCUGGUGUAGCGGUGAAAUGCGCAGAUAUCAGGAGGAACACCGGUGGCGAAGGCGGGUCUCUGGGCCGAUACUGACGCUGAGGAGCGAAAGCGUGGGGAGCGAACAGG
rnacentral:rRNA from 1 species